rnacentral:rRNA from 1 species
CCCUUAGAUGUCCUGGGCCGCACGCGCGUUACACUGAUGCAUUCAACGAGCUUAUAACCUUGGCCGAGAGGCCUGGGCAAUCUUGUUAACGUGCAUCGUGAUAGGGAUAGAUUAUUGAAAUUAUUAAUCUUGAACGAGGAAUUCCUAGUAAACGCAGAUCAUCAAUCUGCAUUGAUUACGUCCCUGCCCUUUGUACACACCGCCCGUCGCACCUACCGAUUGGAUGGUCCGGUGAAGCCUCGGGAUUGUGGUUCUUGCCGCCUUAUUGUGGCGUGACCGCGAGAACUUGUCUAAACCUUAUCAUCUAGAGGAAGGUGAANUCGUANCA